UCAAAUGCGGUGAUGAGAUAAGUAAAUCAAUCGUGGGUUUUUCAGAGAGCCGGGUCAGGUGCAAGCUGGUAUUCCCGCAUGGUUGAAAAUGGUCUUGGAGCAUUCAGUGCCGAAUGAUUAAGCGCUGACGGUGGUCCCCGAUAAACGGACAAAGGUAUCUCAAUUCAGUGAGAUUGACAUACCUGCUGAGGACUAUUUUGCGAAAAAUAGUCGAAUUAAAGGUGGUAACACGAGUCAUCGUCCUUCUG
rnacentral:ncRNA from 1 species